rnacentral:rRNA from 1 species
GUUUGACCUCGGAUCAGGUAGGGAUACCCGCUGAACUUAAGCAUAUCAAUAAGCGGAGGAAAAGAAACCAACAGGGAUUGCCUCAGUAACGGGAUAG